CAGGUGUCCCCCAAUCACCCUGAUUGGGGAGCCAGAAGGGCUGCUCUCCGUCGCCGGCUGGUGGGUGGGGGUGGUAUAUCCAGUCCUUUACGGUACCCCGGGCCCGUCCAGGCUGAGGUCUCCGUGGCGGGAUGCCACAACACACACAAACACACACACACACACACACACACACACACACACACA